CCCGGCCAGUCAGCUCGUUCCUGCCUCGCGCCCCUCCUCCCCCCAAAUAAACAGCCCUCCCUACGCCUUGGGAGCCCGGACCGCCCCCUUCCUCCCUCGGCCGGCGUGUUGUGAGGGAGAGUGUGAGCCAGCGCGGCCGGCGGGCGAGCUCCGGGAGUGCGAGAGGCGGGGCGGCGCGGCGGGCCGGGCCGGGUGUCGCGUGUGCGUGCGGGGGUGCGAGUGAGUGCCCGUCGCGACCCGCCAGUGGCCCCGCGCCGACAACCCGGCGGGCGGGCGGGCGAGCGAGCGAGCGACCAGGCGAGGAGCUGCGGGCGCGAGCCGCGGAGGGGCGCGGAGUCCGCGCGCUCGCGCGCACGCACGCACGCACGCGGGGGGCGGGGGCAGGCGCGCGCCCGCCUGUCGCGACAGUCGGGGCCGAGGUCCAGGGGGAGGUGGCCUGUCGCGGGUCGCCCGGCUCCCGGAGGCGAGGGGGGCGCGGGCGGAUGGCGGAGGGCGCCCAGCCGCAGCAGCCGCCUCAGCUCGGGCCCGGCGCCGCUGCCCGGGGCAUGAAGCGGGAGUCGGAGCUGGAGCUGCCGGUGCCCGGAGCGGGAGGAGACGGAGCCGAUCCCGGCCUGAGCAAGCGGCCGCGCACUGAAGAGGCGGCGGCCGACGGUGGCGGCGGGAUGCAGAACGAGCCUCUGACUCCAGGUUAUCAUGGAUUCCCAGCGCGGGACAGCCAGGGUAACCAGGAGCCAACAACAACUCCUGACGCAAUGGUUCAGCCUUUUACUACCAUCCCAUUUCCACCACCUCCGCAGAAUGGAAUUCCCACAGAGUAUGGGGUGCCACACACUCAAGACUAUGCCGGCCAGACCGGUGAGCAUAACCUGACACUCUACGGAAGUACGCAAGCCCACGGGGAGCAGAGCAGCAACUCACCCAGCACACAAAAUGGAUCUCUUACGCAGACAGAAGGUGGAGCACAGACAGACGGCCAGCAGUCACAGACACAAAGUAGUGAAAAUUCAGAGAGUAAAUCUACCCCGAAACGGCUGCAUGUCUCUAAUAUUCCUUUCCGCUUCCGGGACCCUGACCUCCGGCAGAUGUUUGGGCAGUUUGGCAAAAUCCUAGAUGUAGAAAUAAUCUUUAAUGAACGUGGCUCUAAGGGAUUCGGGUUCGUAACUUUCGAGAAUAGUGCUGAUGCAGACAGGGCCAGGGAGAAAUUACACGGCACCGUGGUAGAGGGCCGUAAAAUCGAGGUGAAUAAUGCUACAGCACGUGUAAUGACCAAUAAGAAGAUGGUCACACCAUAUGCAAAUGGUUGGAAAUUAAGCCCAGUAGUUGGAGCUGUAUAUGGUCCAGAGUUAUAUGCAGCAUCCAGCUUUCAAGCAGAUGUGUCCCUAGGCAAUGAUGCAGCAGUGCCCCUGUCAGGAAGAGGGGGUAUCAACACUUACAUUCCUUUAAUCAGUCUCCCUUUAGUUCCUGGCUUCCCUUACCCUACUGCAGCCACCACGGCAGCCGCUUUCAGAGGAGCCCAUUUGAGGGGCAGAGGGCGGACAGUAUAUGGUGCAGUCCGAGCGGUACCUCCAACAGCCAUCCCCGCCUAUCCAGGUGUGGUUUACCAGGACGGAUUUUACGGUGCUGACCUCUAUAAUAGUCUUACAGGAACCAAUCAUUAGCGCUAAAAUACCUCAGGGUGGAUAUGCAGCCUACAGAUAUGCACAGCCUGCUACUGCAACCGCAGCCACCGCUGCUGCAGCCGCUGCAGCCGCUUACAGCGACGGUUAUGGCAGGGUGUACACAGCCGACCCCUACCAUGCCCUUGCCCCUGCCGCUAGCUAUGGAGUUGGCGCUGUGGCGAGUUUAUACCGAGGUGGCUACAGCCGAUUUGCCCCCUACUGAAGUGACGUGAGACCCCUGCAAAUGGGACAGCCCCCCAGUUCAUGAGGCCUGGCUAUUGCAAUAUUUACUAGUAGAGGAACUCUAUAGCAAGAUGAAGAGGAAAAACAAACAAACAAACAAAAAACACAAAAAAAGAAAGAAUACUUUUUUAUACCUCACUAUGUUCUUUGAAUAUGUAUUUUUCCUUUAAAUUUCUGCCUUUAAUUCUUUUGUUCCAAAGAUUGUGCAUUUUUUUCUUUUUUUUUUUUUAAACUGUGGUAAAAAAAAAAAAAAUAAUGCAUUUCCAUGUCUGUAUGUCCGUGCUUAGCUUAUUCUGUCAGUCACGGAAGAGGCAGGCAAGGAGGGAGGAGAGGCAUGAGGAGCUGAUAAAUGCAUCUGAUCAGAAAUCAGCAGACAGAACUACCAAAGUGUGCCUGGUGCUGAAUGGCUGGGGGACAAGCAGAAGUGGAAGAGAUCUUUCCGCAACAGGAUAUUCUUCUAGUCUUCUGAGUUUCUGGUCUUUUGACAGGCAAUUCUGGUUGGAUGUGGCUGGAAUCCACAUGCUGAUAGAUAGGAAUGUGUGCUUAUAAAGCAGGAGAAUUAAAAAGACGCUUUCCUCUCCUCUUCCCUCCUGUCUUCUCCACUCUUUUUACAAUCAUCUUACACGCACAGCCUGAGACAGUUGGCAUCGUUUUUGGAAUUAUAGUAUUGAUAUUUCCAAACGUGCUCUCAGACUGUGGAUAAUAAACACCUCAUUAGGAAACCGAUCUCGGAGUGAACUCUGGAGUAUGAAAAAGAUCAUUUCUUUUUGUUCCUGUAACUUAGCAUUCUUUCUGGGCUUCUUCUCCUUUAAUUGAACCACAGCUUAGCUCAUGUAUUCUUUUAUUAACAUCCUGCUCUCAUGUCCAUAAGAUUCAGGAAUUUAGGACCCAGGGACAGAAAGAUGAAUAAGCCAGUGACCAGAUUUCCCCCAGAUGUCUGGGCACCGCUUGAGGAUUAGAAGUACAAAGUGUUCACAGCCAUUAAAGAGGGUGAGGAAGAGAAAAGGAAUAUUAGAAGAUCUGGUAUUUCUUUUUUCUUGCCUUAGAAAGUACAAAGUUUAAAAAACAGAAUAAAGAAUCUGCUGGGGAAAGACAGAGUAGCAGGUCCUAGGUCAGCAGUCCCUGGAAGUUUUGGUGAUGAGGACAUGGAAGGGCAGGCAGAGGCACUUUGUACUUGCUCCAAAGCCAUAGGAAUUUUCAUCUUCCAGAGCCUUUAUGAGUCACUUCUCUAUCCACAGUCUUGAGCCCUGUGGCUGUCCUGCCAAGCUUCUCACUGUCCUCCAAAAACAGCCAGCUGAGCACCCGGACCACUUUGUGUACAUUAACACUACAGGACAUAAAAUGCGGAGGCCCUGAGAUUGCUGCCCUCCCAUAUUGGCAGGAGGGUCUGAAAUGGCAAGGGUCUUCUGUAUCGCCAGGAAGAGUCAUGCAGUGAGUCACUGCCGUUGCCAUCUGGCUGUAAUUUUCUGUGUUAUCAAGGUAGGAGAGAGAGUUUCUCUUCUAGCUAUUAGAGAGAACUGAUCAAAGCAAGUGUCCUACAGCAUUUCCCAAAUGAAGGCAUUAGGAAAUAGAAACGCACGGUCUUUUUGGCUCCCUGGUCUAUUCACAUUGGUACUAGGGUGAUCUUUCACCCAAGGGACAGCUGCUACAGGGAGUAAUUCAGAGACGUGGAGCUUCUGGUUUGUUAUGGGUUGGUUUUGGGUUUGUUUUUUAACUCCUGCCUCCACACGUUCUUGACUGAUAACUGACUCAUGUCCCUGAAUUAAAAUGACUGACCUACGACAGCAUCAAGCAUUCUUUGUAAGCAGAGUGAUGUGUCUGAGAGGGCACUGGCCCGUCGCGUAGAAUACAUAUCCUCUCCCCCUUCGGAAUCCUGUCUCGCCUCAUAACUGGGAGAGAGGCUGUGCCUGAAACUAGGGGCGAUGUCAAGGAAGCUAGAGGCCUCGAUGCAAUUAUUACUCAUCCUGGGGAGGAGGACGGAGACUAAGGGGACACCAACGGCCCAGUCCAUUGGCCAUUUUUAAGGAUCCCCCCACCCCAAGCCAAAGUUUGGUUUGUUGCUGUUAAGACAAUUUUUGUUGUAUGUAUAUAAAUAUUUUAGUUAGAGGAGCGGGGAAUGGGAUGCGGGCUUUCACAGUUCUAGGGAAUGGGGGCAGGGAGGAUUUUGCUUUUGCUUUUGCUUUGAGGGAGAACUUUAGCUGACUGAAAAAACAAAAGUUUGAGGUCAUGAUCACAAAGGGGCCAUUCCCAAAAGAUGGCAAGCCACGUACUCAAUGGAGACUAGGCCAAAUUCUAAAUGGCUGUAUCCCUAGCAGGGGAGAAUAGGAGAAUGAGUUUAAGUGUUUUUCUCUUCUUUUUUCCUAGAAAGAGGUAAGGAUAAUAGGAAAGGUAGAGAAGGCAGCUCCCACAGACCUUUUCAGAGAGGCAGAAUCUUGAGCUUGAGGCACCUUGAGUGCAUCUCAGUUCAGCUGGUUCUGGCUGAGGCCUCCAAAGGCAAGCUCUGUGCUUUCCAGUGGUUUCUGCUGCAUUUCCAGGGAUGGUGUUUAACACCGCUUCCUCCAGCUCCCUUUUCUAAGAAAGAAUAGAUGGAGUUCUGCUUUUUAUGAAAGGGUCUUUGGUUUUCAGUGUCAACACUGAGAAUUGGGGCUCUUACAAGCAUCUAGAUUUCACAGUAUCAACCUCGCCAUCACCAUUUGAACUUUGAGACUCCACACAGUCAACUUCACCAGAGGCAGGUUGCUCAAAGCAGCACUGCUUGUCUGUUCCUGACUCUGGUUCUCACUGUAUUAAGAGAGUCAGAGGAGUCUGGCAUUUCGUGAGUUUUUAGAGGAUGCUGGCUGGUAAUUCCAGAAAACUCACCGAUGCUGAAUCACAUGCAUGAUUCUUUUUCAACUUUACUAUAGUUCAUGACCUGGACUUUCUGUACUCUUGGAAGCUGGGCUCCUUAAAGGAGGCCUCUAGUGAAAACCUUUAUCUCCACGUCCCUCUUUUAGCCCAGAGAGCUGCCCAAAGGCAUUUUCCAGAAUUCCUUGUGUCUCUUAGUUCAAUUUCCAUUAACUCAGAUCAGCCAUUGUGAUUCACCAUUUGUCAGCCUCUCGGGUUUCACAAAACCUACUAUCACCAUCAUCCUCCAACAGCCACAGUCUGAAUUGAGCCAACAUUUUUUUUUUUUCUUUGAGAAAGCAGUGGACUGGGGCACCACUUCUAGUCUGAGGGGAGCUAGUGGAAAUCUAGACGCUCGAAAUCAUCGAUAGCAGCUUUUCCUCAAAUGUGUGAUUCCUCAGGGGCUGAACUGCUCUUAGCUUAGAAUUAUGCUUUACUAGAGAUCCAGCAGAGAAGUGGGUUAAUCACUACCAUCCCGUGACUAGUUACAUAGCUUCCAGACAUGAGGGAGACUGAUAUCAAACAGGGACGGAAGCAACCCCAAGGAUAUGCAAGAAGGGCAUGAUGAGCCCCCUUCCCUCUGUCAGGAGAACAAGGCCAACCAAGGGACGGACUGGAAAGCACUUACAUGUUUAAGGAGGGAAAAGGGGACGCUUUGGCGAGCCCUCCCCUUCUGCCAAGUUCAGCCAGUUCUCUGCUGCUUGCAACCCUCUAGCACAGUGACAUUUGCAGAAUUGCAGGUUUUUUCCCCCAGACACUAGGAGGAAAGGGACUUUGGGGGGUGGGGAAGGGGUCGUGGUGUUUUAAAAGCAUAAGUUACCUGUUUGCACUGUUUUAAGAUAGGAAAAAAAUAGUGGGCAAGGUGAACAUCAGACGUAAAUUUGUGUGUUUUUAUUUUGUCAUGCUCUUGAAAAUGUUUGACCAUUUGUAGUAUACACAGUGAAACUUGAUUCUCUGUUGCAUAAAACACUAUAUUUUUUUGGAAAUGUUACUGUCCAAAAGCCUCUUCCCUCCCUUUCCUUUUCCUGUGUACUUCCUUCAUACUUGCUUUACUGAUCGGCCAGGCAAUAGCCAUCCAAGAGCUAGAGCAUGAAACAGGGCCCUUUCCAAGUAGGCUCUGGGUGUCCUAAGCCAGCGUGUGCCCUCUGGUUCGGUGAGCGUAGGAGAGUCCCUGGCACCUUUCUUUGCAAACAAGGCUUACAGACCAGACUGCAGCAAGUUGUCAAAUUCCUCGAUCAGAUGCACUAGGAGUGAGGCCUCGCCCAGGGAUGGAGGGGAUUCCUGAAGUGCUGCAGUUGGCUGUAGUAGCUGAGUUCUUUUCCAUGUUACCGAAACUGUAGCCAGUUACAGUUUACUCAGGAAAACGGUAGAUCAAUUCAGCCAUGGUAGUGCUGGUCGGCAGGGAUUGGUAACGGAGAGAACUGCUUAGCAGCCAAAACUCAAGCCUUGCCUUUUAGGAGGCCACCGGCAGAGGGACUUGGUCCUCCUUGUCUGGCACUUGCGUCCAUGCCAGCGACCUGAGGACUGCACUCACACUGGCGAGCAAGAAGGGAACAGUGAUUCUCUUUUCUCUCCCCACCCCCUGCCCUUUGUUACCAACACCAGUUUCCCAGGGGGUACAUGAGUUUUUGAAUUUUUAAAACAUGUGUUUUGGUUUCGUUUUUCCGGGGACUGAUAAGUGCUUUAAGCAAUGUCCAUACCCCGUCAAGACUCCCAGCUUAGUCAUUUUCUUGUAUUUUUCUGUUCACAGUAUUUGUGUGUGUGCUUGUUUUGGCAGCUCAUUUUGGCUGUAUUAUAUAUCGAGUGACGAAUUGAUCCUCUUUUUUUCCCUAAGGGAUAUGAAUUGUUUUUCUUGUGUUAUAUUCUGCUUGUGAAUAGCUGGAGCAAACCUGGGGCUGACACACGUAAGCUAGGGCUGCAAAGCGAGAAGAGAGCCGGUGGAGUGUACUUGUCCCUGACAGGCUGACCUGCCUGAGUCUCUGAGCUUUUCAGUCCAAAUCUUUGCAAGGCUCAAAAUGCCACAGAACCUCUCCUCUUCUCCCCACUCCCCAUGGCAGGAACCGGACCAUCCCUACAUGCAACAUGCUAUUCCUCCAGCCCCUCCCAUUGCCAUGGCAAAACAGGUACCUUGGGGCAGGGGGGCAUUACAUGGGAUGCUUGUGUGAUCGACCACCCAGCCUUGUCUCUCCCCUCCCGGCCUCCCCCACAAUCACUUCCUAGGACACCCGAGCUGCUUGCCCAGGGUCCUGUUUCCCUGCUAACUCCAGAGAAGCAUCCCAGGGCUUUGUGACAGUCUCUGAUUCCCUUCCCUUCUCGUUAAGAAUCAUAUUGUAUAGUAGCUUUCAGACCAUACAGUAUUCAUUGGGUUACUCCUAUUAUUAUCAAGUAGCUGGAAUUGUGAAGGUCGGAGUAGUUAGAUCUUUAGCUUUUAUUCCUUAUUUUUUUGUAUUACUCUCCAUGUGUAUAAAUUAUUGAUCAUGUUGCUGGCUUUUAUAAACUCUAAGCGAAGGAGGAGCACUGCCUCAGCCUUUGCACAUGGUAAUGAAGCACUGUUUUUAAAUAAAAGAGAGAAACACCA